rnacentral:rRNA from 1 species
AGGGAAUAUUGGACAAUGGGGGAAACCCUGAUCCAGCAAUGCCGCGUGAGUGAAGAAGGCCUUCGGGUUGUAAAACUCUUUCAUCAAUGAUGAUAAUGACAUUAGUUGAAGAAGAAGCUCCGGCUAACUUCGUGCCAGCAGCCGCGGUAAUACGAAGGGGGCUAGCGUUGUUCGGAAUCACUGGGCGUAAAGCGUAUGUAGGCGGAUCAAAAAGUUAGAUGUGAAAUCCCUGGGCUCAACCCAGGAACUGCAUUUAAAACUAGUGAUCUAGAAUUUGGUAAGGGUUAGUAGAAUUUCCAGUGUAGAGGUGAAAUUCGUAGAUAUUGGAAAGAAUACCAGAAGCGAAGGCGACUAACUAGGCCAUUUUUGACGCUGAGAUACGAAAGCGUGGGUAGCAAACAGG